ACUCCUACGGGAGGCAGCAGUGGGGAAUAUUGGACAAUGGGCGCAAGCCUGAUCCAGCCAUGCCGCGUGAGUGAAGAAGGCCUUCGGGUUGUAAAGCUCUUUCAGUCGGGAAGAAAAGGUGCCCUCUAACAUAGGGUGCUGCUGACGGUACCGACAGAAGAAGCACCGGCUAACUACGUGCCAGCAGCCGCGGUAAUACGUAGGGUGCGAGCGUUAAUCGGAAUUACUGGGCGUAAAGCGUGCGCAGGCGGUUCGCUAAGACAGGUGUGAAAUCCCCGGGCUUAACCUGGAAACUGCGCUUGUGACUGGCGGGCUAGAGUACGGCAGAGGGGGGUGGAAUUCCACGUGUAGCAGUGAAAUGCGUAGAGAUGUGGAGGAACACCGAUGGCGAAGGCAGCCCCCUGGGCCGAUACUGACGCUCAUGCACGAAAGCGUGGGGAGCAAACAGGAUUAGAUACCCUGGUAGUC
rnacentral:rRNA from 1 species